rnacentral:rRNA from 1 species
CCUACGGGAGGCAGCAGUGAGGAAUAUUGGUCAAUGGUCGGGAGACUGAACCAGCCAAGCCGCGUGAGGGAUGAAGGUACAGAGUAUCGUAAACCUCUUUUGUCAGGGCACAAAGGCGGGGACGCGUCCCCGGAUGAGUGUACCUGAAGAAAAAGCAUCGGCUAACUCCGUGCCAGCAGCCGCGGUAAUACGGAGGAUGCGAGCGUUAUCCGGAUUUAUUGGGUUAAAAGGGUGCGCAGGCGGUCUGUUAAGUCAGCGGUCAAACCCCGGGGCUCAACCCCGGCCCGCCGUUGAAACUGGCAGUCUCGAGUUGGAGAGAAGUAUGCGGAAUGCGCGGUGUAGCGGUGAAAUGCAUAGAUAUCGCGCAGAACUCCGAUUGCGAAGGCAGCAUGCCGGCUCCACACUGACGCUGAGGCACGAAAGCGUGGGUAUCGAACAGGAUUAGAUACCCGAGUAGUC